UCAUAAUGCAUGUUGUCAAAAAUUGAAGAAGAAGUAGGAUACUGUGCCCUGGAUUAGUAUCAACUGGAACUUUAUAAGUUGGAUAGGUCCAUCUGUUUUUCAUAAAAAUUUCGUCAUGAGAAUUCGAAAUUGGCUAUAUCUUUGCAUAACAAAAACAAUCAAACUUCAGUGAUGGAAAAUACUAGCGAAAUAUAUAAAAAAAUACACAAAAAAAUUUAUAUAAUAAAAAAAUUUGUGGAUGAUGUGCUGCAUUAUGAAUGAAUCAUCAUGUGAUCAGUUAGAAAAAAUAUUUUCAAGACAGAAAUACACAAAACUAAUGAUUUUAAAAACGAAGUUCUCAAAAAAUAUAUUUAAAUUAUAUUUAAAUAUAUUAAUUA